rnacentral:rRNA from 1 species
GACGAACGCUGGCGGCGUGCUUAACACAUGCAAGUCGAACGGAAAGGCCCUGCUUUUGUGGGGUGCUCGAGUGGCGAACGGGUGAGUAACACGUGAGUAACCUGCCCUUGACUUUGGGAUAACUUCAGGAAACUGGGGCUAAUACCGGAUAGAAGCUCCUGCUGCAUGGUGGGGGUUGGAAAGUUUCGGCGGUGGGGGAUGGACUCGCGGCUUAUCAGCUUGUUGGUGGGGUAGUGGCUUACCAAGGCUUUGACGGGUAGGCGGCCUGAGAGGGUGACCGGCCACAUUGGGACUGAGAUACGGCCCAGACUCCUACGGGAGGCAGCAGUGGGGAAUAUUGCACAAUGGGCGGAAGCCUGAUGCAGCAACGCCGCGUGCGGGAUGACGGCCUUCGGGUUGUAAACCGCUUUCGCAUGUGACGAAGCGUGAGUGACGGUAAUGGGUACAGAAGCACCGGCUAACUACGUG